rnacentral:lncRNA from 1 species
GCAGAGCAGUGCUUACCCUAGAGCUAUGAGGUGCCCUUAUUGAAGCCUUGGGCAGGCCUCACCCCAGUGAGAACCUCUUCCAUUUUUUAAUGUCUAAAAUAUAUGCAUUAAAAAAGAGGGCUUAUAUCUCUUUCUCUUAAUCAUCUAUAAAUUAUUAUGCUCCAAGUAGGUAAAGAAAUAAUUUCUAUGCUAUAUUUUCUUAGUCACUUUCUAGCAAGUUUAAUGUUUCACCACAGACAGAAAUGUCAGAAUACAAAGAAUACAAAGAAUACGAUCUUUCACUGUCUGGGGAGGACAACUUAGUCAUGUAUUGACCCAAAGCAUGCUUCUACAGCACUAGUGCUCUCACAGUAUGUCAGAAUUGGAAACACAUCAGUAAGCAGAACGUUUUUGGAAAUGAAAGUAAUCGUUUUGGUAAGUGGUAGUAGACUUUUUCAGAUACCUUCUCAACCGUACCAGGGUCACAAAUGGAAAAAAAAUUGCCCUGUACAUUCAGCUCUCC